rnacentral:rRNA from 1 species
CAAUAGCGUAUAUUAAAGUUGUUGCGGUUAAAAGCUCGUAGUUGGAUUUCUGCCGAGGACGACCGGUCCGCCCUCUGGGUGAGCAUCUGGAUCGGCCUGGGCAUCCUCUUGGGGAACGUAGCUGCACUUGACUGUGUGGUGCGGUAUCCAGGACUUUUACUUUGAGGAAAUUAGAGUGUUUCAAGCAGGCUUCCGCCUUGAAUACAUUAGCAUGGAAUAAUAAGAUAGGACAUGGGUUCUAUUUUGUUGGUUUCUAGAACUUAUGUAAUGAUUAAUAGGGAUAAUUGGGGGGCAUUCGUAUUAACGCGUCAGAGGUGGAAUUCUUGGAUUGCGUUACGACGAACUACUGCGAAAGCAUUUGCCAAGGAUGUUUUCAUUGAUCAAGAACGAAAGUAUGGGGAUCGAAGAUGAUCAGAU